UGAUGGCAGGUUCUAUGACCACAGGUACGCUGACCACAGGUACGCUGACAGGUUCUAUGACCACAGGUACGCUGACCACAGGUACGCUGACAGGUUCUAUGACCACAGGUACGCUGACCACAGGUACGCUGACCACAGGUACGCUGACAGGUUCUAUGACCACAGGUACGCUGACCACAGGUACGCUGACAGGUUCUAUGACCACAGGUACGCUGACCGGAGCUUAAUUGUUAUAACCGUAAACUCUGUCUCCCACUAUAAACUGCUCAGCAGGAGGAAGUCUUCACACCAAACUGUUUUAAACGUGACACUGAGCUGAAACU